UGAUACAGUAAACCUUAAUGGAAGUUGAAUGACUAUAUUAGCCCCUAUGCUAAAUAUGCUUUCAGAUGGGGAGCUAGUGGCUGGGAUACACAAGAAAAGAAACCAAAAAGCCACUCUGGCGACAUCCUUAAAUCCUAUUUUUAUUUACAAUCGCUUCACUGCUGCUAGCCAUGGCACUCAUUUUCGCAUGUCUUGUUAUUCUGACCUGAAGUGACAAGUAUGCGCAUGGAUUCCUUGACCAUUUACAAUGGAUUUUACGCUUGUGUUCCCCUGGCGUCUCUCGUAACUAGGUGACCAUCAAGCAUUUGCUCAGUGGAUGACAAACGGAGAAACCAUUGCUGCAGCUCUGAUACAAGUUUAUGGAGAAAAGCGCUGCAGUAUUUGGGUGCGCUGUAUUGUGUGAGGCUUCACUCCCCAACUCAGUCCCACCACUGACACCAGAGUGACCGUCAGGCACCUCCUCUCAGACAUGGACCGCCGCAUUCCUCAGACACAAACUGAGUGCCAAGGAGCGCCUGGAUGAAAGAUAUCCACCGAAACUACCUUGGCGAAAAUCCUUUCUUCAUUUUCAGCACAGAAAGAUUCCUCUCUGAGACUGAAACCAGCCAGAGUGAUGAGAUAACCUUCAUGGGAGGAGCCUGAAUAACUUGCUGUGGCUGUGCUUGCAAUAAGACGGACUCUGUCAAUACUCAACCAGCUUUGCCACCCAGUAUAUCCUGUUUUAGAUAUUUAUUUGUUGUUGAAUUUCUGCCUUAAUCCUCAUAACCACAUUUGAUUGUUUGAAACUAUAUUAAAAAGUUAAUAGCUGCUUUUCACAAA